rnacentral:rRNA from 1 species
UAAGGUGACUGCCGGCUAAAAGUCGGAGGAAGUGGGGAUGACGUCAAAUCAUCAUGCCCCUUAUGACCUGGGCUACACACGUGCUACAAUGGGCGGUACAAAGGGUCGCGAACCCGCGAGGGGGAGCCAAUCCCAAAAAGCCGCUCUCAGUUCGGAUUGCAGGCUGCAACUCGCCUGCAUGAAGCCGGAAUCGCUAGUAAUCGCGGAUCAGCAUGCCGCGGUGAAUACGUUCCCGGGCCUU